rnacentral:rRNA from 1 species
GACGAACGCUGGCGGCGUGCCUAAUACAUGCAAGUCGAGCGGACUUUCAAGAAGCUUGCUUUUUGAAAGUUAGCGGCGGACGGGUGAGUAACACGUGGGCAACCUGCCUGUAAGACGGGGAUAACUCCGGGAAACCGGGGCUAAUACCGGAUAAUAUCUUUCUUCGCAUGAAGGAAGGUUGAAAGGCGGCGCAAGCUGCCGCUUGCAGAUGGGCCCGCGGCGCAUUAGCCAGUUGGUGAGGUAACGGCUCACCAAGGCGACGAUGCGUAGCCGACCUGAGAGGGUGAUCGGCCACACUGGGACUGAGACACGGCCCAGACUCCUACGGGAGGCAGCAGUAGGGAAUCUUCCGCAAUGGACGAAAGUCUGACGGAGCAACGCCGCGUGAGCGAAGAAGGUCUUCGGAUCGUAAAGCUCUGUUGUCAAGGAAGAACAAGUACCGUUCGAAUAGGGCGGUACCUUGACGGUACCUGACCAGAAAGCCACGGCUAACUACGUGCCAGCAGCCGCCGUAA